UAAGGCCUAUCUCAAGAUGUAUGGUCCAACUUGAUUCAUAAAAAAAUAAAAUAAUUAAAAUUGUCUUAUUUUAAUUUACAGAGCCAAAGUGAUGGAAACAAUGGCUUCGUGAGGGAUUAACAAUGUUUCACGAUCGUUACUCAGUGAAAUCCAUCAAUUCACUUUAAAUAAUUAACUGGAAAUGUCCUCUCCCCCACAAUUUUGGAAAACGUAUUGAGCAUAUUUCUAUAACGAUAGAGCGAAAUGAAUAUCACUGAAUUCUGUCUAACCUCAGGAGAAAUGACGUUAUUUCACAUUACUGGCUCUAUCAAUGAGAGGGCACUGAACUCCUGGAGAAGAUUCAGCAAAACCACUGGAACAGAGAUGGUAAAGAUGAAAAAACGAGAACCAGUGGCGACUUGUCAAUAGAGGGCUCUACCACGCAUUACAUUCCUUCAAGACAAAAACAUAAUACUGAUAGUCAAAUGUCCAGUAAAUCCUUUUUUAUCACAGUGGUCAUGUGCCAAAAAAAACCCGCAAUAGAUUAAAUCUGUUGUGGCGACCCAUUAUUUACUAUAUAAAUUUCCAUUUUCCGUACCUCUUAUCCUCACUAGGAUUGCGUGUGUGCUGGCGCCCAUCUCAGUUUACUCUGGGCGAGGCGGAGUACACCCUGAACUGGUCGCCAGCCAAUCGCAAGACACAAAUAGACAACCACUUGCACUCACAGUCACACAUAUCGACAAUUUAGAAGCUUCCAUCAGCCAAAAGGUUUUUUUUUGUCUGAUUGAAUGCUGUUGUUAAGAGGUACCCAAAAACUUUGAUUUCGCCUACCCUGUCGACCAUCCGUUUUCAAAGUUUGAAAACUUCCGCCAACCCCAUUGAUGAUCGAUUUCUCGAGGUUGGUGAACUGUGAUCCGCCCCAUCUGGCACAAGCUGCUCCGCGAGUUCCCACGGUCAUCCAUCCAUCGAGCAACGAGUUUCUUCAAGAAGUACCACACGAUUAUGUGAAAAGCAUAAAAUGCGUCAGUAUAGCCUGUCACUCACUGGUUCAGCACACAUAGGUGCUGCUACAUAUGUGCAAAUGUUACAUAGCAAACAUGCUGGAAAUUGCUAUGUUCGUGACUGACUGAUGUGUUUUGACUACCAUGGAAACUUUGUUUCACCCGAGGAUACGCAAUGCUAGCCCCUAAAAAGUCUCAUUCACGUAUGAUCGUCACCUUUGUUGACCCAAAGCACCUAUUUUACAUUAGGAAAACCACCGUUGUCCACCCCAAAAAAGUAUUAUUACUGAAAUAAUGAUCUGUCUCUAUUGAGUCACAAAUGUACUUGGUGUGAAGUCUGGGCUUCUUUAGUUGAACACAAAGCUGAUGUAUAUGUAGGGAGCCAUAACUUGUUCUGUUGUAUGAAUUGCAAGUGGUGGAUACACAGGUUUAUCAUAGACUUUACACCGAUUUUAUCGGUAUUAGCUGAUAAUUAGCAUUUUAUGCUGAUGGGCUUUGUCAUAAUUGGCCGAGCCAGUCAAUGACAUCAUUGAUGACAUCAUUGAUCGGCUCCGCAAAAGAUAUUUACUCCACGUCGCCAUCAUGCACAGUAUGUUUGAAUCCAAAAGCUAAUUUAUUUUUAGCCUUGUCGCGUGUCUUUUGGUGUCGUCCUGUAAAUAUCUGACGGCCAAUAGUUUUUUUUUUUUUUUAAAUGUCGGCGGUUUGGAACAGACGACACGUCUGAGUCAGACAACAGGUAAUGCCCGGAUCAGACUACAAGACAAAUUUUCUCUUUCAUAAUUGCACUGUCAGACUACUGCAAUAAAAUCUUGUAUUCCGAUACCACCACAUCCUGUUUUUAUGUUUUGUUUUUUUUAACACGGGGCUUCAUCGUGUCAAUGCAAACGUACACUCGUUACCAUGGCGACGACAAUUAUGGAUCGCGCCGUGUGUUUCCAAGAACAAAAUGCGGGGGGAAACGUGUGUUGGUGGUCAUCGGUGCUCAGGAGAGGAGUGGACGUUCAUUUAAGGCUUGCUUGAGGGACCCGGAGAGAGGUCUACAGGCAGCGUAUGCAGUGGUGCAGCAAGGAGGCAGCGGGCAAGUCGAGGUGAAGGAAACGGAGAAGGGAAGGGAAGCAAUCAGCACAAUUGGCAGAAUUAAGAGCGGUGACCACGUGGAACCCGAUGAAUGAAGCGUACAAUCCGUCGAGAUUAUCUGUCUGAUGCUACUCGAGUUCCCUCCCCAGUUUAUAUCGACACAAUUGGUGUUCCACGGAGUGUUCCAGAUGAGUAUAAACUGGUAGACCAGGUUGCAGCAUGUUUUGAAUUUAUUUUCUUGUGGAUUACACCAAUCGUAUUAAUUAUCUACAUUACAAUCAGCAGAGACUUACCAAUUUUACGGCAGACGCGGUGUCGGCGAUUCAUGGGCAACUGUCGGCGACAUCCCUGAUGGCCUACCAGAAUCGCAUGGCACUGGAUAUGCUUCUACCAGAGAAAGGCGGCGGAACAGGACGAUGGGGAAGCUCAACAGCCAUUGGAUGAAGCUUCUCCUCCCACGACGAUAGUAUAAAUUGUGAGGGCUGUUAGGGGAGGGCGCCUUUUCCUAUCCAUCUGCAUGGCGGGUGUGAGAAUCGGUUGUUGGGGAAUGAAACAGCCCAGAAUUCUGAUGGAAAAUGUACUUUUUGCUGAAUUCCUGAUAAA